AGAGUUUGAUCUUGGUUCAGAUUGAACGCUGGUGGCAUGCUUAACACAUGCAAGUCGAACGGUAACAGGUCUUCGGAUGCUGACGAGUGGCGGACGGGUGAGUAACGCGUAGGAAUCUGCCCAUCUGUGGGGGAUACCAGUUGGAAACGACUGUUAAUACCGCAUAAUAUCUGCGGAUUAAAGGUGGCCUUUGCGCUGCCGCAGAUGGAUGAGCCUGCGUUGGAUUAGCUAGUUGGUGGGGUAAGGGCCUACCAAGGCUACGAUCCAUAGCUGAUUUGAGAGGAUGAUCAGCCACAUUGGGACUGAGACACGGCCCAAACUCCUACGGGAGGCAGCAGUGGGGAAUAUUGGACAAUGGGGGAAACCCUGAUCCAGCAAUGCCAUGUGUGUGAAGAAGGCUCUAGGGUUGUAAAGCACUUUAGUUGGGGAGGAAAGCCUGUGAGUUAAUAGCUUGCAGGAAGGACGUUGCCCAAAGAAUAAGGACCGGCUAACUCCGUGCCAGCAGCCGCGGUAAUACGGGGGGUCCGAGCGUUAAUCGGAAUUACUGGGCGUAAAGGGUCUGUAGGUGGUUUGUUAAGUCAGAUGUGAAAGCCCAGGGCUCAACCUUGGAACUGCAUUUGAUACUGACAAACUAGAGUAUGGUAGAGGAAUAGGGAACUUCUGGUGUAGCGGUGAAAUGCGUAGAGAUCAGAAGGAACACCAAUGGCGAAGGCAACAUUCUGGACCAAUACUGACACUGAGGGACGAAAGCGUGGGGAUCAAACAGGAUUAGAUACCCUGGUAGUCCACGCUGUAAACGAUGAGUACUAGCUGUUGGAUUCGGUGUAAAGGAUCUAGUGGCGCAGCUAACGCGUUAAGUACUCCGCCUGGGGACUACGGCCGCAAGGCUAAAACUCAAAGGAAUUGACGGGGACCCGCACAAGCGGUGGAGCAUGUGGUUUAAUUCGAUGCAACGCGAAGAACCUUACCUGGUCUUGACAUCCUGCGAACUUUCUAGAGAUAGAUUGGUGCCUUCGGGAACGCAGUGACAGGUGCUGCACGGCUGUCGUCAGCUCGUGUUGUGAAAUGUUGGGUUAAGUCCCGCAACGAGCGCAACCCCUAUUGAUAGUUACCAUCAUUAAGUUGGGUACUCUAUUGAGACUGCCGCUGACAAGGCGGAGGAAGGUGGGGACGACGUCAAGUCAUCAUGGCCCUUACGACCAGGGCUACACACGUGCUACAAUGGGUAUUACAGAGGGCUGCGAAGGUGCGAGCUGGAGCGAAACUCAGAAAGGUACUCUUAGUCCGGAUUGCAGUCUGCAACUCGACUGCAUGAAGUCGGAAUCGCUAGUAAUCGCAGGUCAGAAUACUGCGGUGAAUACGUUCCCGGGUCUUGUACACACCGCCCGUCACACCAUGGGAGUGGGUUGCUCCAGAAGUAGAUAGCUUAACGAAUGGGCGUUUACCACGGAGUGAUUCAUAACUGGGGUGAAGUCGUAACAAGGUAGCCGUAGGGGAACCUGCGGCUGGAUCACCUCCUU
rnacentral:rRNA from 1 species